rnacentral:pre_miRNA from 1 species
UUAAUACUCCCUCCGUCCGAAAAUACUUGUCCUAGAGAUGAAUGUAUCUAGACUUAUUUUAGUUAUAGAUACAUUCAUUAUAUUUAUUUUUAAGACAAGUAUUUCCGGACGGAGGGAGUAGAAC